GGAAAGGCGAAGUUCACGAGCCACGAUUGGUCGCGCCUGGUCGCGCUUCCUAUGGCGUCAUAGACAGAAACCAAUGGGAGCCCAAGGGCAGCCUCGCGGGAAGACGGCGAGGGAGGACGGUAGAAGUUAGUGUAAAGAUGGACUUAACUUGAUGUCUCAAGCGCUUCAUCAGCAAAAACGUUUUAUGGCAGGCAGAAGGGCCACCUGAAAGAGACUUCUGCCACAUCAAAGCAAGGAAGCUACAGGCAUCUGACCUGCAAGCCAGGCAGACACCGUGAUUGGAGGCUUCAGGCCGGGCUUGUCAGCACCUAAACCACAAGACUGAAAACCAAACCCCAGAAUGGACAAAGAGCGCCUCUGAAUUCGUGCGGGACCAGAGAUGUGAGGACCAGACAUCUCCUGCUUCUCCUUGUCCUGGCACCUUACACAUUCCCUAACCAGACACAGCCCUGAGGAAGAGCGCUGGCCACCCGUGAUAAGAUUAUUGUCACUGGCAGCUAAGUGGGGCUUAAAGUAGAAAUAAAGUUCAGUUACAGAAAAAAAGUUCCAUUUGUUCCACAUUUGAGUUUCUAGACUGAAGUUCAUUCCUGCUACAACAGUAUUAUCUGUGUUAUAUAGUAACCGAAAAUGCUCAGGUUUUAUUAUGAGAAUUUCCCCUUCCUCAGAGAUCAUGAGGUUUUCAUUAACAUUUUUAUUUGGGGCCUGUAGUUGUCAAGAACAAAGCUGAGGAAAAACAACAAACACUGCCCUGCUUGGUGUCGUCACCUCACUGGUUAUGAGCUCCUCUGGAACAUAGUCCACCACCCCACCCUGACCCCCUGCCUCGGCCCUAGCAACACAGUGCAUACGCUUAAGUAUGCCUACUAAGCCCACAC